CCAGCAGCACGAGUAUAGGAGCAAAGAAGGCUGGCUCCAUUUACGAUCAGUUUUUCCAGAUGCGGAAACCAUCAUGAGGGAGUGGAUAAGGGGACUGUGAACUGUUCGCUGGAGUUAAGGCCUCCAGCCCCAUCCCAAAGCCAGCACUGCUUGAGCCUCAGAGGAGAGAUCCAUGUAGCCACCACUGAGAACUUCAGACCAGAAGAGACAAGCAGAGAUACUGCAACGCACUCAUCCAGAGCAGAGGAACCCUAUUUUGAGUUUACCUAUAGGACCUUAUAACAGGCAAACAUAUGAUGUCUUCAUAGUAUUAGAAAUAAUGAAAUGAAGGACUAUAUCAGUGACCUCCUGAAAGGUUAACUGGAAAUCUCAGGAUUAAUCUUUCUCAUUUUCUGUUAAAAUGCAAAUCCCCGGGUUGGAAUAAUGAUUGAACAUUGUUUGUUAGUUACACCUUAAUGAAUGGGGUUAUUAGGGUUUAAGAGAAUGAGGUCAUUGGGGUUUAUUAAACCAUCAAGGGAGAGAACUAAGAGGGGACCCUGAGAUGCCCAGUAAGGCAAAUAUUUGGAGAUAAGUUUCAUUUCACCCCUACUUGGCCUCCACAAGGCCUGCACACUUAAAUAUUGGUUUGAGAGAAUUCUGAAGUCAGAGUGGCAGACCAUGCUGGUCACACCCAAUGGCCCGAUCCUGCUACAGGAACACAAUUUCACUCAUGAGUGGGACACCCCCUGACUCUGGCUACAGGGGAAGAGCACGGUUCCAUGCCAUUUCCCUUUGCCAGUGAUUGUUUCGGUGAUGAAUGUGUAAGCCAUUUCUGGCCAAUGGGAUAUAAGGGCGUUUAAUCUCACCCCUCUCUUGUAAGGAGAGGAGGAACUUCCUUCUUCACUCCAGCCUGCCUCCACACAUGGUUCUGUGAAGAUGUAACAUUUGGUUUGUGACAGCCAUCUUGUGACCACAAAGAAAAACCGCAAUAAGCCUUGGCAUCACCACGGGGCUGAAUUAACCCACCCAGGGGCCCCUGACCUCUAGACUUCUCGUUAUGAGAAAUGAUAAAUCCUAUUAUUUAAGCAACUACAGUCAGGCUGUUUUGUUCCUUGAAGCAAAGGCUUAUCCUGAUGCAUCCAGAGGUGUCACAGUGCGAACAGGCA